GGGUAAUUAACUCGGUGGCAGGGUGUUUCGUUUACACUGAAAGGUCAAAGGUUCGAUCACCUUAAUCACCUA
rnacentral:tRNA from 1 species